UGGGGAAUAUUGGGCAAUGGAGGAAACUCUGACCCAGCAACGCCGCGUGAAUGAUGAAGGUCUUCGGAUUGUAAAGUUCUUUUCUAAGGGAAGAAGAAAGUGACGGUACCUUAGGAAUAAGCCUCGGCUAACUACGUGCCAGCAGCCGCGGUAAUACGUAGGAGGCAAGCGUUAUCCGGAAUGACUGGGCGUAAAGGGUGCGUAGGUGGUUUGACAAGUUGGUAGCGUAACUCCGGGGCUCAACCUCGGCACUACUACCAAAACUGCCAAACUUGAGUGCAGGAGGGGCAAAUGGAAUUCCUAGUGUAGCGGUGGAAUGCGUAGAUAUUAGGAGGAACACCAGUGGCGAAGGCGAUUUGCUGGACUGUAACUGACACUGAGGCACGAAAGCGUGGGGAGCAAACAGG
rnacentral:rRNA from 1 species